UUCUUCUCCUCUUCUUCUUAUCCCCUUCUUCUUCUCAUAUUUUUCUUCUUAUUUCUCCUCUUCUUCUGUUUUUCCUCUUCUUCUCCCCCUUUUCUUCUUCUUUCUCCUCUUCUUCUAAUUUUCCUCUUUCUCCUUGUUUCCUCUUCUUCUAUUUUUCCUCUUCUCCUUGUUUCCUCCUUCUUCUUCUUCUUAUUCUUCUUCUUCUUCUUCUUCUUCUUCUUCUUCUUCUUCCCCUUCUCCUCUUCUUCUUCUUC
rnacentral:lncRNA from 1 species